GGCCAAUUGCAGGAGGGUCCUUGACUCUGGACUGUGCCCGGGAACUGUUUGGGAGAGUGCUAGUUGGCACAGUCUGUGAGAUGUUUAAACAGCUUACUAAUGCAUGUGGUCAUGGUUCAGUGCCUGGAAAUGUCCCCAGACUCUGUUUAAUUUUUUAAUCAAUAUGUGGCCUUCAGACACUGAGCCUCUGCUGUGUAUUACAAGGUAGCAGUGCUGCAGACCACAAAAGAGACUUUUCUUCAUAUAUAUGAAGAAAACUCAGGCCCCCAGAAGAACACUCACAUGUACUGAUUGGACAGACUGUGACAGGUUGCUGAUGUAUAGGUGUACAGAAAGUAUCUUCAUUAGGUCGUGGAGCAGAAAUGUUAAGUCACAGCCUGAACCAGUGAUUGAGCAGCUGGUGGGAAGGCAGGGCCAACCCAGGGGAGCUCAGGUGCAUGCAACACACCUACAUGACCAGAAGGGGAGGAGCCAGGAUCCACCCUUUCCCAGACAUUUAAGGAUUGGCAGUGGCAGCGAAGGGGUCUUGCUGGAGAUCCUUGCCUACUGGAGACUCUUCCAAAGGUAAGCAGUUUUUUUCCCUUGUUUCUGUGUCCAUAGCUGCUGCAUUUGGGCUUGUUCUCAUUUGCUACAAGCUAGGAUUGUGCCACUCUGCUAUUAUUGUUGUACUUUCCAUCACAUUAUAGCACUGUAGCAUUACAGGUCAGAAUAUUCUUUCAGCCAGACAGUAUUUUCAAAAACAUACAUAUGGUGUGCAAAAUGUUUACUAAUACAAAUCAAACACGAAGGACAGAAAAAAAUGCCCCAAAGAUAUUUUCAGUCUUUUCUCUUCAACUAGUAGUUGGUAUUGCCAGGAAUAGCAGGGUAUUAAUCAGUGUUAAAUCACGAUAAUGGGUAGUAUCACUAUAGGGCUUAAACAUUAAAUACAUGAGGUACUAAACAAUCCCUAAGCUCUGCAGAGUGAGCUGAGAACAGGAUAAUAAAUUCUAAGUCAAUUGAUUAGUCUUUAGUGGAUCUAACUGUGGUCUGGACAGAAUGUAUUCAAAGUGGCUCUUGUAUGUGUUAAUGAUAAUUGUGAUUUACUUCAAUAUAGCAGUUUUCAUCACAAAGGCUCCCAUGGCAUUUCACUUUUCACAGUACAGUGU
rnacentral:lncRNA from 1 species